rnacentral:rRNA from 1 species
GAUGAACGCUAGCUACAGGCUUAACACAUGCAAGUCGAGGGGUAACGAGAGGAAAGCUUGCUUUCCUUGUCGACGACCGGCGCACGGGUGAGUAACGCAUAUCCAACCUGCCCCCAACUAGGGAAUAACCUUGCGAAAGUAAGACUAAUACCCUAUAAUUUCCUCAGAUGCCAUCUGACGAGGAAUAAAGAUUUAUCGGUUGUGGAUGGGGAUGCGUCUGAUUAGCUUGUUGGCGGGGUAACGGCCCACCAAGGCAACGAUCAGUAGGGGUUCUGAGAGGAAGGUCGCCCACAGUGGAACUGAGACACGGUCCAAACUCCUACGGGAGGCAGCAGUGAGGAAUAUUGGUCAAUGGGCGGAAGCCUGAACCAGCCAAGUAGCGUGCAGGAUGACGGCCCUAUGGGUUGUAAACUGCUUUUAUACAGGAAUAAAGUUAGCCACGUGUGGUUAUUUGUAGGUACUGUAUGAAUAAGGACCGGCUAAUUCCGUGCCAGCCGCCGCAGUAA